CCUACGGGGGGCUGCAGUGAGGAAUUUUCCGCAAUGGGCGCAAGCCUGACGGAGCGACGCCGCGUGAGGGAUGAAGGCUUUCGGGUUGUAAACCUCUUUUGUUUGGGAAAAAGGUCCGCGUGCUCAUACCACGUGGAUUUGAUGGUACUAAGCGAAUAAGCCCCGGCUAACUACGUGCCAGCAGCCGCGGUAAUACGUAGGGGGCGAGCGUUGUCCGGAAUUACUGGGCGUAAAGGGCGUGUAGGCUGUUGGGUAAGUCUGGUGUGAAAUGCUACGGCUCAACCGUGGCACUGCGCUGGAAACUGCCUGACUGGAGUGCAGGAGGGGUCACUGGAAUCCCCGGUGUAACGGUGAAAUGUGUAGAUAUCGGGGGGAACACCUGUGGCGAAGGCGGGUGACUGGCCUGCAACUGACGCUGAGACGCGAAAGCGUGGGGAGCAAACAGGAUUAGAUACCCCAGUAGUC
rnacentral:rRNA from 1 species